AUAUGAACAAGUAUAAGGUUGCUGCAGUUUGACCUGAUUAGGAAAAACUGGUGUCCUCAUAUCCCUUAUAAAACCUUUUUACAACUGAAUAAUCACUGUCAUACCUUUAUAGGGUCCAGAGUUUUCCUGGUUAGGUUAACAGAUAAGGAAAAACURUGAGUCCCAGGGGGUAAAUUGAAUGUUUCCUCCAAGCACUUCAAAUCCUGUCCUGCACUGAAGUCAAGCCUCUGAACACCUCAACUCAUGCCUCAUACCCUCAUUCAAUCACUGCUGUGARCCCUUUCCAUAACUGUAUGGCCAUAACAGGGCCGGCUGUGGAUUCCAGAGUGGAUUCCUGUGUGUUGUGACCAAGAGAACAGAUGCCUUGGGUUCAGUGAAAACAAUUACAGGGUUGCUUACUGUACACACACACACCAGGCUGAGCCCACUGCAGGGAGAGGGGACCUGGCCUGCUCCCAGUGUUGUGUGUUUUCAGUCCCACUCCAGACUAAUUCCUCCACAUAGAAACACAGGGAUGUGUGUCUGUGUGCUUGAUGAGGUCACCCAGCAGACAGAGCCAGAGGGAAACUGAACAGGCAAACAUGACUGAACAGGACAGGAGGGAGGACCACUCUUUUGCAUCCCAAUCAGGCACCCUAUUCCCUUUAUAGUGCACUACUUUUGAACGGGCCCACACAUACACAUGCAAGCGUACACACCACACACCACACACACUCUCCAGUGAAAAUGACUAUUUAAAACACUAUCCUUACUGGGAUGUACAGUGUGAGUGUAUGUGUUGAACAGAUGUUUUUAUACACGUGCUGAUUUCCUCAACAAGUUGCAGCAUUGCCCUGUACUGCCCCGGGACAGCACGCACCCCUGCCUCCACGCAAAACAACUAGCAGGUACAAAGAAUGUACAAAUCAGAAUGGGUGGAACAGACAUUCCUUUUCAAAACAAUGUUAUGUACAGUGGGGCAAAAAAAGUAUUUAGUCAGCCACCAAUUGUGCAAGUUCUCC